CAAGUGUCUUUAUUUUGUGGAUGUAGCUGARGAAAUUUGUUGGGUCUUUAGUGAAAAAACCCUGCUAUAUCCCAGCUACCAGUGUGGAUAGAAGGAAUAUAAGCCUURCAGAAGGAAAACUGCUGCUUGUAGCCUAGAUAUAUCCUAUGACUACUGAUCCUCGUUGGCUGAAUUGUCUUCUGGGGAGUUGGCCUGUUGUGAAACAUAUGGCUCUUGUAGGCUCUUGUAUGCAACAUAAACUUACUAGGAGAGAAACUUUCAUUAAGGGCUAAAUAAACAAGAUCUGCACAGACUGAAAGUUCUCACUUCCUCUGCACUUGGGGCACGGCACAACUUGUC